UACGUAGGGGGCAAGCGUUGUCCGGAAUUAUUGGGCGUAAAGGGUGCGUAGGCGGCCUUUCAAGUUGGAUGUGAAAUCUCCGUGCUUAACAUGGAAAUUGCAUUCAAAACUGGAGGGCUUGAGUGUGGAAGAGGUAAGUGGAAUUCCCAGUGUAGCGGUGAAAUGCGUAGAUAUUGGGAGGAACACCAGUGGCGAAGGCGACUUACUGGGCCACAACUGACGCUGAUGCACGAAAGCGUGGGGAGCAAACAGG
rnacentral:rRNA from 1 species